UGUGAAACCCCCUCACAGUGGCCAGAACCCAGGUAUCUGAGGUGAUAUCUAACCAGGCAUGGAAAAAAUGACGGAGUCUGCCCCCUACACAGGUAUUGGAAAAAACAUGAGGUAGGUGUAGUCUUACCGUAAGGGCGUCUGGAACCGGGGUUCCCUCUGAAGCUUCUGGAGCGCCAUGGUCUUCCACGAGACGGGAAGAAGGGAGACUGGUGCCUUGUGUCUUGAUAAGGCGGUCUCUGAUUAUAAGAGCCUCGUCCCGAUCCUCGGGAGUUGAAAUUUGACCGGCCGGACAGACGGCCCCUGAAU